AGUUAAACCGUGUGAAUGCGACAGGAAAGCAUUCUUCAGGGAAUUUAUCAAUUUAUACUGGACAAAGAAAGAUCUUAAAGAUGAUCAGAGUUUUUUUGUUGAUUUUCCUGUAUUCAAUGGCUGCUAUGUGCUUCGCCCAGCCACCAUGGUUGUGUAGGGAUUGCGUUGUAAAUGGGACUAGGUACAGAGGAAACCAUGCAUUUCAAUAUAACCGCGACUGCAACCAGUACACAUGUAAAUGUCUCUGCGACGGCACGUACGACUGUCCGCCUGCCCUGACAAAGGACCUUUGCCGCCGAGUGGAAACGGGAAAAGGAUGCAGCGUAUGUGAAGUAGAAGACACAAUUUAUGCCCCCGGUCGAUUCAGAUUCGCCUUUGCUUGUUACCUUUAUGAUUGUGAUUGUAAUUGUGAUGGUUCUUGGCAAUGCCCAGCAGAGAGGACCAUCAAUCUUUGCUGAUAUAUUAAAUUGAAUCCAAACAAACGGUAACUAAAAAUCUGAACUGAUAUAGAUUUGUUUGUGUGUCUUUUUUCUUAAAAUAUUGGUUUGUAAGAACUAAGACAGUACGAUUGAAUGUGAAGAUUAAUAAAUGUUACAU
rnacentral:misc_RNA from 1 species